AUGUGCUUUCCCCACAGGGCUGAUCAGCAGGACCUGCCUUCUGAGCUGCCACCUCCAGGAAACCCUGCAGGAGCUGUCCUUGGAGCCGUGGGAUCAGCUUGUGGACAAAACUGCUUUCACAAAUUCCUUGUGCUGAGGCUGUCAUGGAGGAUCCCAUUAAGACUUGUUUCUUCCUCUUGUGGAAGCCUUUGGGAUUGUGCCUCACAUCCCACCAAGGAGAAACUCAGUGUCAUAAAAAUACAAAAAACAUGGAGCGUUUCCUCAGAAGUUGUCUACAUCCAUGUGUUCACCUUGCUGGUCCCUCUGAAAGUCAAGGCAGGCAGCUCCAGCCUCGCCAGGGACAGGUUGGGAGCCCUUGGGCACUCCUGGAUCACCUCUGAAGGGCAACUCCACGAGGGAAACAAGCAGACACAAAAGCUCUGCAAAACUCAAGCUGCAUUUGUCAACAACAAAGAGUGUACAGUUCUCAUCUAACAAUAAAACAUUUUAUUUGUUUCCA
rnacentral:lncRNA from 1 species